UACGGGGGGAGCAAGCGUUGUUCGGAUUUACUGGGCUUAAAGGGCGCGUAGGCGGCGUGACAAGUCACUUGUGAAAUCUCCGGGCUUAACCCGGAGCGGUCAAGUGAUACUGUCGUGCUAGAGUGCGGAAGGGGCAACUGGAAUUCUCGGUGUAGCGGUGAAAUGCGUAGAUAUCGAGAGGAACACCUGCGGCGAAGGCGGGUUGCUGGGCCGACACUGACGCUGAGGCGCGAAAGCCAGGGGAGCGAACGGG
rnacentral:rRNA from 1 species